rnacentral:lncRNA from 1 species
UAUUUUCAGUGUUACCUGAAGAUGGAGUUGGGAUUGUAAACAGGUCUCUGAUGCUGCACUGCACAGUGCUUGACUCUGGCCUGAAGGCUCCUCUAUCGGUGAAAUGGGAGCGAGACGAUGGAGGUCUGGACAGCAGGAUUCAUCAGUUGGCCAAUGGCACACUUUUCUUUCCCACUUAAAAGAGGAAGACUUUGGAAAUUAUUCCUGUAGUGCAAAAAGAGGCAACAAACAGAUUCAAACCACUGUCAUGGUCAGCAAAGCAUGCCUGGAUGAUGUGUUCUUUCACCCUCAGUCCAUGAGAACUGAAGAGGGACAUGAUGUUUUCCUUCAGUGUGUCUCUGGUGAUAGUUCUCCUCCCGCUCAGAUUUCAUGGUUAAAAAACGGCAGAAUUCUCACCAAAGGAAACCAGAUUCAGGGACAGUAUGGAGGAGGGAGUCAAAGGAAGACUUCUGGCACUUUGCACAUGGCUAACAUCACCAAAGCAGACCAAGGAGUCUAUAUUUGCAUCACCCACAAUCAUCUGCUAAAUAUAAGCAAAGGAAGUAAAGCAGCAACUCUGACAGUGCAUGAUUCCAAUGUAGACGUAAAGAUUAUUGAAGGCCCCCAAAAUGUCACUGUACCUGUUGAAAUGGAAAGUGCAAUGCACUGCUUUGUUGAAGGCUUCCCCUUUCCAACAAUUCAGUGGUUUAAAGAUGGAAAUUCCUUACCCAAUUCUUCUAGAUGGGAUCUGCAGAAAGAUGGACAGCUGCUGAUUUUUCAGAGAGUUUUGUCAGAAGAUGAGGGCCUGUAUUUCUGUGAAGCUCGCAAUGAGAGGCAGAAAGUGAUAUCUGAACCAGCCUACCUCCUUCCUGCAGUUAUGGAUUGGAGCUUUGUUCUUGAACCUGCCAACCUAACAGUGAAGAAGGGUGAAGCUGCGACUCUUUCCUGUAGGCCUCCUCACAGCAGACCCCAAGCUCAAGUGUCCUGGUUUAAGAACAACAGUCUCCUCCAGACAGGACUGCAUUAUACUUUUGAUUAUAAUGGAGACCUGGUCUUCCACAGUGUACAAGAGACAGACAGUGGAUUGUAUUUCUGCACAGCUUCUAAUUCCUAUCUCAGAAGAGCUCUCACAUCGAAAAAAAUCUUUCUGGAUGUUCUUGAACCUCCAUCCGUGACUAUCUGGCCGACUGUGGUGACGUCUCCUGUAGGUGCUGAAGUGACGAUUCUCUGCCAGGUAUUAGGACACCCUGCUCCUUUCAUCAGGUGGUCAAAGCAGGGACGUUCUGUCCAAACUGGAGGCAAAAUUAUAAUGGGGUACGUAUUGCAUGAAGAGUUUAUUAACUAUAAUUGUAGUUAUUGUUUACGAGGUGGUGCAUGUGUACUCAUUUUGUUCCCAGGUUAAGAAACACAACACUCUACAUUUCAUCAGUGAGAACAUAUGAUGAAGGACAUUACACAUGCACAGCCUCCAACACACUGGGUCACGAUCAGAAAACCAUGACUCUUCGGGUUGCUGGUAAAUCUCCCUUUGCAAAAAUAGCAUACUAGCAAAAAGUACCAUGCACUAACAUGUACUGUACCAUGAUAUUCUUUGAAAUAAGAGGAUAUAUAAAUACAUUAUUAUGCUAAUCAUUUAGUACCAUGGGUUGCUUUUUAGAAGUGAUCUUCAAAAUACAUCAUAAACUAAUUCACAUUUUGUGUGGCAAUGUAAAAUUAUGGUCUAUUAAAACUGUACUACUAACACCUGUAUCAUAAACAUCAUACUAUUAAUGGGUACUGUGGAGCUAGUUGGUGAUCUUAAUUGCGCAACACACGGACAUCAACAUUCAGCAUACAAAACAUAACAAUGGUAACAAUCAAAUUAAUUUGAUAAUAAGGCUCUGAACAUUACAAAAAAUUAUGCUUUGCUAAUUCUUACAACAAACACUGGCAACGAAACUGGCAAUUAAAGCUGGAAAAUAGUAAAACAAAGCAAUUGCUUAAUUUUUCACGCCUCAUUGCACUCUGGAAAUCAGCAUAUUAUUUGUCAAGUCACCUUUAUUUAUAUAGUGCUUUAUACAAUACAGAUUGUGUCAAAGCAGCUUUACAGUAUUAAACAGAAAAAAAAUUUCAAAGUCAGGUCAUUGAUUCAGUGAUGUCAUCAUCCAGUUCAGUUCAGCUCAAAUAGUGUCUGUGCCAUCAAGCUGAAAAUAUUGCCAGAAAUUAAGUAUCCUCAACUAAGAAAGCCAAAGGCGACAGUGGCAAGGAACCAAAACUCCAUCUGUGACAGAUAUGGAGAAAAUAAAAACCUUGGGAGAAACCA